rnacentral:rRNA from 1 species
GACCUCAAAUCAGGUAAGAAUACCCGCUGAACUUAAGCAUAUCAAUAAGCGGAGGAAAAGAAAAUAACAAUGAUUCCCUCAGUAACGGCGAGCGAAGAGGGAUAAGCUCAAAUUUUAAAUCUGUUGGGUUCCACUUAACAGAGUUGUAUUUUGAAGAAACGUUUUCUGCAUCCAGGAUUAGCCUAAAUCCUUUGGGAUAAGGUAUCAUGGAGGGUGAGAAUCCCGUUCAUGGUUAAUCUUAAGGAAGCUCUACGAUACGUUUUCCAAGAGUCGAGUUGUUUGGGAUUGCAGCUCAAAAUGGGAGGUAAAUUUCUCCUAAGGCUAAAUAUUGGCGAGAGACCGAUAGCGAACAAGUACCGUGAGGGAAAGAUGAAAAGAACUUUGAAAAGAGAGUUAAACAGUACGUGAAAUUGUUGAAAGGGAAACGAUUGAAGUCAGUCAUACCAACGGGAAAUCAACCUUUUGAGUUUGGUCUCGUGGGUUUUGAAGAGUUUCAAAGCCUUCGGAUUCGCGGGAUUGGGAUCUCUUGGUGUACUUUUUCGUACGGUUAGUCAACAUCGGUUUUGAAUGUCAUAAAAUGACUGGAGGAAUGUAGCUUCGAUCUCGUAUUGAAGUGUUAUAGCCUUUGGUAGAUGUGAUGUUUGAGACCGAGGAUUGCAACGGAUACCCUUCAGGGCUAUUCGUCUGAUCUCUGAUACGUUGCCUUGAUGUUGAAAGCUUGCUUAUGAUGUUAGGGUAUUACGGUCAAAAGGUUAGAACGGAUUAGAUUCGUUAAGGAUGUUGACGUAAUGACUUUAAACGACCCGUCUUGAAACACGGACCAAGGAGUCUAACAUAUAUGCGAGUGUUUGGGUGAUUAAACCCUUGCGCGUAAUGAAAGUAAUUUUGGUGAGAUCCGGGAAAAAAUUUUCGGAGCAUCAUCGACCGAUCAGGAUAUUUUUUGAUAGAUUUGAGUAAGAGCA